GUCGGUGUCGUCUAGUGGUUAGAACGUGAGCUUAACACGCUCAAGAUCGAGGGUUCGAUCCCCUCCUCCGAUA
rfam:Phytophthora sojae unplaced genomic scaffold PHYSOscaffold_6, whole genome shotgun sequence.